AAGACCAUACUUUCAGGAAUCAUUUCCACAGUUCAUUAGUAGAGAAGGUUCUCUGAAUGUGUAGGUAACUGGAAACCACGAGGAGGAACAGUGUUCUCUCCUGAGUGUGAAUUUGGCACUUGAUGUUGUUUUGCUACAGCUGUCAUUUGCCAUUGAUGAUCAUUCUUCUCUUCCUUUUUGGAGAGUAAGGGGGAGAGAAUGCAGUAUGAGUGG
rnacentral:snoRNA from 1 species